rnacentral:rRNA from 1 species
AGUGAACGCUGGCGGCGUGGAUUAGGCAUGCAAGUCGAGCGAUCUCGCAAGAGAUAGCGGCAAACGGGUGAGGAAUACAUAGGUAAUCUUCCCUUAAAUCAGGAAUAGCCUUAUGAAAGUAGGGGUAAUGUCUGAUAGCAUCAUGAGGGCGCAUGUUCUUAUGAUUAAAGACAGGGACCUUCGGGCCUGUCGUUAGGGAUGAGCCGAUGUCAUCAGCUAGUUGGUGGGGUAACGGCUCACCAAGGCUAAGACAAGUAGCUGGUCUGAGAGGA